CCUACGGGAGGCAGCAGUGGGGAAUAUUGGGCAAUGGAGGCAACUCUGACCCAGCAACGCCGCGUGAAUGAUGAAGGUCUUCGGAUUGUAAAGUUCUUUUCUAAGGGAAGAAGAAAGUGACGGUACCUUAGGAAUAAGCCCCGGCUAACUACGUGCCAGCAGCCGCGGUAAUACGUAGGGGGCGAGCGUUAUCCGGAUAUACUGGGUGUAAAGGGAGCGUAGACGGCUGGUCAAGUCUGAAGUGAAAGCCCGGGGCUUAACCCCGGAACGGCUUUGGAAACUGAGCAGCUAGAGUGCUGGAGAGGUAAGCGGAAUGCCUAGUGUAGCGGUGAAAUGCGUAGAUAUUAGGAGGAACACCAGUGGCGAAGGCGGCUUACUGGACAGUAACUGACGUUGAGGCUCGAAAGCGUGGGGAGCAAACAGGAUUAGAUACCCCUGUAGUC
rnacentral:rRNA from 1 species